rnacentral:rRNA from 1 species
GACAGAGGGUGCAAACGUUGUUCGGAAUUACUGGGCGUAAAGCGAGUGUAGGCGGUCUGAAAAGUCAGGUGUGAAAGCCCCGGGCUCAACCCGGGAAGUGCACUUGAAACUGCCAGGCUAGAGUAUCGGAGAGGUUGGUGGAAUUCUCGGUGUAGAGGUGAAAUUCGUAGAUAUCGAGAGGAACACCGGUGGCGAAGGCGGCCAACUGGACGAAUACUGACGCUGAGACUCGAAAGCGUGGGGAGCAAACAGG